UCUCUCGUGAAUCGAAUGUUUUGUAAGCCCCCAUUUGUGUGUUGUGUAACAGGGGGAACAGGUGGAUGGCAUUGGUUUCCUUUCUGGAUACCACUUGUCGCGUUUGUCAUCUGGGGAUCUAGAUAGGCUGGUAAGCGUUUGAUAACCUGUUUUCUCUUGUUUUCUUGUAGCACACCAUAUUGUUUGAACUGCAUGCAUAUUUCGGGUUUUUUUGUUUUUGUGCAGUUUGUCCCUAGGGGCAUGGUCACACUGUGUGAUAUGUACCCCGGUGCUUCUAUCACGCUAGAAGAUUGUUUCUCUAGAAUGUUCAAUGUUGUGUUGGAGUACUGGGUAGGGGUGAACUACCUUGGCCAUGGUUGGCAGCAAUUCCUUGUAAAUGUGCAGGCCAAAACUGGUGACUCUAUAUUGUUCAAGUUUAAGGGACCUCGGACAUGCAAGGUGAUUGUUUUUGGUGAGGGCGAAGGUGUUCAGAAGUUCCCUUGUUUCGAUGACAAUAACAGGCACCUCCUGAUUCGUGGAGGAAAGCAAGGUGUUGCUAGAACACAACUUUGAUUUGUUUUCUAAGUGUAGAUGGCUCCGGUUUCUGCGUUUCAAGAUAUAUUGUUUGAAUACAAUGAUAUUGUCUAUAGGAUGGCCGAUUCCUCUGAGCCCAAAGCAGGCGGUCGAUAUUGGUCCAUGUACACGGGCUACAUCAAGAUCAGGUACCAAACGUAAUCUAACUGCGGGUGUAUCUUACUUUUAUCGUUAGCCUCUUGAUCCGUUUGUUUUUGCCACUUGGAAGGUUCCGUUGGAGAGAGAACUAGUAGUGCGACACCUAAACAGGAUGAGCACAUUGAAAGUAAUGUUUUGAUCAUGUAUCUUUAAUAAAAAUUUACCUAAAAAAUGUUUACUCGUCGGUUGACACCUGC
rnacentral:lncRNA from 1 species